rnacentral:lncRNA from 1 species
UGGUUGGAAUUCAUGUUCAGCGUUCGUUGUCAUGACAAAUCAAUUGUUUGCAAAUAGCCUCUUCUCCGUGCAUUUAUUACCAUGAGUUGAUAAGGUCUUUUUAAAUUAUUUUCAUUUUUGAAAUUAAAGUUUUAUUAACUCUGAGCGAUGUAACGUCAAAGAGAUUGUUUUUAAUGACAAUGUCGUUCGCCUUUGCUAUUGUUUGAUUGAUGGUUGGGUGGAAUUUUGUCUUUAUUUUCUUUAGCCGUAACGCUUUUAUAAACGAAUGAGUUGAAAACUUUAAACAUUUUUUGCAAUUAAAUGUAUAAUAGGAAAUAACAAUUGACAAACGUCACGACGUUAUUAAGUCCAUAAACAUUAAACAAACUUUCUGAAACAAUGUUUUGUCUUUCUUUUU